rnacentral:rRNA from 1 species
UACAGAGGUCUCAAGCGUUGUUCGGAUUCAUUGGGCGUAAAGGGUGCGUAGGCGGCGCGGUAAGUCGGAUGUGAAAUCUCGGAGCUUAACUCCGAAACUGCAUUCGAUACUGCGGUGCUUGAGGACUGGAGAGGAGACUGGAAUUCAUGGUGUAGCAGUGAAAUGCGUAGAGAUCAUGAGGAAGACCAGUGGCGAAGGCGGGUCUCUGGACAGUUCCUGACGCUGAGGCACGAAGGCCAGGGGAGCAAACGGG